rnacentral:lncRNA from 13 species
AUGAAACAAAGAAAGUUAUACGGUGGGUUCGACAGCAACAUCAUAACCAAACGUCACAAACCUGUGCCUUCUCAGAAUCUGCUUAGCCUGUUUUCUCCCCCAUUGCAGUGUCUGUACCAGCCCCUGGUCAGUGUUCUAAAUGGUCCCCAGAAUGCAUCUGUCGUGGUCAGCACCGUCCUCACUCUGACACUGCAGUUACAACCAAUGGGCAGAAACACAACUCUCUGCAGUUGGAGUCAGUUGUAUGAAGAAGCUGCCCAUUACUCUGUCUGGAUCCAAGAGUCAGAAUCUCCCAUCAAUGUCAUUUGCUAUCAGACUGUGGAUGUCAGUCCAAGUAACAUCUAUUUCCCUCUGUUGGUGGCAGCUCUUCUACUGGCACUUAUUAGUCUCCUAUGUGUCCUUGUUCCCUACCUGUACAGGAGGCGUUGUACGACGAAGCUCAUCAAGACCAUUUGUCACGAAGGACCACAACAUGCAAUGGAUGAUGAAACCCAAGGUUGUGGGGACGAGGUUAACACUGCCCAGCCAAAACCAACACGACUGCGCUCACUGGACACUUUCCGAGGGUAUGUACAUGGCAUUGAUUGUUUCUCUCUAUCGCCACGUAUGGCUUGUUUACAUGCUAAUUGAUUUCAGGCUAAUCAUAGGCAUGCUGAAGUUAUACAGAACACAAACGUAUGUAUUGUAUAACAACAUAUUAUACGGGUCACUGUCUGGUUGCAUGGUCACUUGAGCCUUUGUUUUCAGGCAAUCGCUUUGGGCAUGAUUCGUAAUAUCUUGUUGUCUAUCUAUGGUUGAGAACAGCGUAUUUCUGUUGGACAGGAGUGGUGUGAUUUAAUCUUGGAUCCCUGCUCUACUUAAUAGUGGCCUCGGGGCAAACACAAAGCACGCCUCUCUGGAAACAGGAAGCUGGUGUGGGUUUGACCUCCCCUUCGCCAAAUAAUUGAUGUAAUAAUACCAUCAACAUAUCAGCACAUAUUCACUGAGCCAUGGAUCUACAGCUGGGAUAGAAUGGAAAGGGCUUUCCAGAGCCAGGUUUUUAGUAUCGUUGCAGACUUCUCCAUAUCUGCUCCCUUCAUCUGAUGCUUUUGUAAAUGUUGAAAUCUCCUUCACUGUGUCUGCUCAAGCUGACUUAAUAUUAAUUUUGGUCCGACUGUAUAUCUUCAAAUCAACAUAUCAAGCCUUCCUCAACCGGGGAAAUGAAACUGCUCAUCAUCACGUUGUUUCAAAAUGUGUUACCAGGAAAUGACCAUGAUGUAGAUACUAGUGAUGGGGGGAAGAAAAUCAAUAGUUACAUAUAAAAAAUAUUUUUGGGGAAAUUACAUGAUUUAUCGAUAAUUGAAUCCAAGUAUCGAUUUGUAAAAAUCCCAACGCUACUGUAGACAUCCUAACGCUACUGUACUGUAGGUAGUGUAAACUAGCACCAGUUGGCUGUACCUGCGCCAAAACGCCUGCAUUUUUCAUCCUAUAGCUUGAUCUACGUCUUCUUUUGAAAUGGUGAGCGAGCAUGUUUUCAGCACUUUUAUUUCCCUGACUGAUCAGAACUCGUUUUCUCACGCUCUCUCUCUCUCUCUCUCUCUCUCUCUCUCUCUCUCUCUCUCUCUCUCUCUCUCUCUCUCUCUCUCUCUCUCUCUCUCUCUCUCUCUCUCUCUCUCUCGUCCCUCUGCAGCAGACAUAUAGUGAGCAAUAUGUUUGGAACAUCAAAUCACAAUUCAAAUGCGGGAUUCAAAUCACAAUACAUGCAGAAUUGUGAGAAUCGCAAUACAUACUGUAUCAGCACCUAAGUAUCGUGAUAACUUCGUAUCGUGCCAGUCCCUGGCAAUUCCCAGCCUGUAGAUACAUUACCGUAUAAUAAAUCGUAGUAAUAAAUCACAUUUUCACAUGCUCUAGAGAAUACAAGUACAAGCUAAAGGCCCAAUUAGAAGCUUGUGAAAACAAGUGUUCUUACUACUGUUCCCUGACACUGUUCCCUGACACUAACCAGUACUUUACUCUGGGCUUUUCACACAUAAUCAACGACAGACCUAUCUCAUCAGAAACAUAUCAGAAUGUUGAAAUGUAGGCUAACAUAUGUCACUGACGGUAACAUUUAGUUUAGUUAUAUGUCACUGUGAUGACACUGGUGCUAGUGUGGAUGGGGGACGUACAACAUGGGUUUAUUCAUAACAACCUCCAUGAUGCAUUUAUUCAAUAUCUUUCAUCAGGAUUUUUCAAAAUAAAAGUUAUUUUUUCAUUACAGAACGAAAAGUUAUCAGUAACACUGAAAUAGAUCUUCAUGUAUCCAUUGUACAACUGAUAUUUUUAGUUCCACAGUACCCAACCCAACCCGUGUGCUAUCCUUAUAGCACUUGUUUCUGGCUGUUAUUGGCAGAAAACAUCAUGUAGGCCUAACAGGAAGUUUACGAAUGGUGCUCCAGACCAGAAGGCGCUGUAGGCCAGGUAGGCCAGGCACUCUGUUUGCUUCAGUUCCAACUUGUCCCAGAUGUCGUCACAAAAAAAAGUUACUAAUUCAAUAUGGUAAUAUUGAUAAUUCCAACGGCUGUUUACCCAGUGGCAUCUUGCCAACUUGAAAGAUCUCAAGAGAGGAUGCAAAACACACAAUGCACGCUGUCACUGACCGCCAACCCCAUGCUGCUCCCAGCCUGUUACGUGAAGCGUGUGACAGAGGGCUGGGUACUGUGGCCGUAUCAAAUUUCCAUUGUACAAUGCUGAAAUGAAAUAAGGUUUUAUUCCGAGAUACUUUUAUAUCUGAAAACUUGUCGUGAAUGAUGUUGAAUAAAUGUGCUAAAACCUUUUACCGCAACACUCACAAAAGGUGUUACGGCUGGUUUCAUAAAGAUGUUACGAAUGCCGUUUGUACGAAUGUAUGUUCUCUUCAAGUAAAGUUAACGGAUUUGAAUCAUUAUGUAAUACAAGAGUUACAUUUGCCUGAGAAGAUACACCGCUGACGCAAUCUGUGACGUAUCGAUGUGCUCAUAUUGGUUCCUGUAUCAGUUGAAUGAUUCCUAUACCUCGAGACGUGCUUUAUCAAAGCUCAAGAUUAAGGUUCCAAUGCACCUUGGCUGGAUGAGUUAUGAUCCAGAGGCCAGUAAGUAACAACUUUUCACUGAGGGAAAGAGGCAUCAGUCAUCUGCCAUGAAGGCUGGUACAUUUUUGAAGCCAAAAAAGGGGUUUCUUCUCCUCUGAAAGACUUUUCAGCUCAUUCCUCAGACUCCACUACCGUGAGUUAUAGAGAACAGCUCGACUUUGUUUGCGCUUUACAUUUUUCGAAAAGGAUCUUGAUUUUAGUCUUGUGGCACUUCUAAAAGCCUUCAGCCGUUUCACUUAUUUUGAAGAUUGCGCUAAAGAUUAGUUGUAAUAAAUUGAAGAUGCAACAACAAUUACAGCAAAACAGGAUAGUGUAACUUACAAAUGGAACCAGGGGGCUGAGCCAAUAACAUGUCUCAUUAGAAUAUGACAAAAUAGCGACAUUUAACCUUUGUCACCUAAACUCAUGUCAUAUAGCAUGGUUAGGGUUAGGGCUACCCUGUUAACAUUCUGGCAUUCAUAUAAUGAAUAACAAAGAUAGUUACAGUGCAUUCGGAAAGUAUUCGGACCCCUUGACUUUUUCCACAUUUUGUUACGUUUCAGCGUUAUUCUAAUGGAUUAAUGGAUUAAAUAAAUGUUUUUUUCUCAUCAAGCUACACACAAUACCCCAUAAUGAUGAAGCAAAAACAGGUUUUUAGAAAUGUUUGCAAAUUUAUAAAAAAAAUUUUUUUUUAAAGAAAUAUCUUAUUUUCAUAAGUAUUCAGACCCUUUGCUAUCAGACUCAACAUUGAGCUCAGGUGCAUCCUGUUUCCAUUGAUCAUCCUUGAGAUGUUUCUACAACUUGAUUGGGUCCGCCUGUGGUAAAUUAAAUUGAUUGGACAUGAUUUGGAAAGGCACACACCUGUCUUUCUAAGGUCUCACAGUUGACUGUGCAUGUCAGAGCAAAAACCAAGCCAUGAGGUCGAAUGGAUUUUCCGUAGAGCUCCAAGACAGGAUUGUGUGGAGGCACAGUAAGGGUACCAAAACACAAGGGCCUCCCGGGUGGCGCAGUGGUUAAGGGCGCUGUACUGCAGUGUCAGCUGUGCCAUCAGAGACUCUGGGUUCGCGCCCAGGCUCUGUCGUAACCGGCCGCGACCGGGAGGUCCAUGGGGCGACGCACAAUUGGCCAAGCGUCGUCCGGGUUAGGGAGGGCCUGGUCGGUAGGGAUGUCCUUGUCUCAUCGCGCACCAGUGACUCCUGUGGCGGGCCGGGCGCAGUGCACGCUAGCCAAGGUUGCCAGGUGCACGGUGUUUCCUCCGGCACAUUGGUGCGGCUGGCUUGCGGGUUGGAUGCGCGCUGUGUUAAGAAGCAGUGCGGCUAGCAGUGCGGUUGUGUAUCGGAGGACGCAUGGCUUUCAACCUUCGUCUCUCCCGAGCCCGUACGGGAGUUGUAGCGAUGAGACAAGAUAGUAGCCACUACAACAAUUGGACACCACGAAAUUGGGUCGAAAAAGGGCUAAAAAAAAAAAAAAAUGGGUACCAAAACAUUUCUGCAGCAUUGAAGGUCCCCAAGAACACAGUGACCUCUAUCCAUCAUUCUUAAAAUGGAAGAAGAUGGUCGCCCGGCCAAAUUAUGGAAUCGGGGGAGGUCUUGUUCAGGGAGGUGACCAAGAAUCCAAUGGCCACUCUGACAGAGCUCCAGAGUUUUUCUGUGGAGAUGGGAGAACC